UUCGCUUCUUGGCCUUUUGGCUAAGCUCAGGUAUAGUAUCUGUUCUUAUCAGUAAAAAAAAAGCAAACAAAAAAAAACCAUCUCUUUGAUUUCUGUAGUGGGAAUGCGCACACGGAGGUGACCUUGUUGGCCUUCAAGGCUGCAAGAAAUCAGCAGCCCUGCCUGACUUGCGUGCCAGUUCUU